UAUGUCCGGGUACAGAUGUGCUUAUAUUUCCGAUUCUAGGUGAACAGGGAAAUGGAAAUUAUGAUUCAUUCUAACGGCUGUGGUGUAGUGUAGUGGGAUACAGUGUGUUUCUAGACUAACCUUAUUACAGCUGUCCACCAGAGAGGGAAGACUACAUGUGGCAGGAUAUUUCGUGGCUGAGGAAUAGGAGAAGCAUGGAGAUUGGCGUGAUCGUUUACUGCUGGAUUGUGAUCAUUGCAAGGCACAGAGCAGGGUCGGAACCUUGUGUGGACAACUUAGGGGACACCUGCAAGACGAUUGAUUGUUCACAGCCAGGAAUCGUUCACGAGUGUGCGAAGACGUGUGACAUUUGUACGGGAAAAGGUUGCAAAAAGGG